CUUCCCAGAUCAUAAUCCCAUACUGUAACCUCCAGCGUCUUAUGAACCAGUUCGGAUAGUGAGAUCUCAUAGAAGAACUCCUGUGGGUGGUUAAAUAUGACAUGUUGAUCAUCUGACUGACAGAAUAAAGAAACAUCAUACAAGCUUGGAACAACAUGAGGGGAUCGGAGAAACCAUUGACGUCCAUGGCGGCCAGAUGAGCGCAACGUUGCACUCCGACACACAAGCCCCCUCGUUGCCCCUCUCCGUCUCCCUCUUCAGGUGGGGGAACAAACUGCAACGUGAGCAACAGACGGCCUCUCUCUUCCAGACUGGUCAACUGUUCAUUCUCCCACUGCAGGAGAGAAACAUCAAAAUGAGAGGUAUGGACAUCCAAAGAGGAGAAGAUAUUGAUUUAUUCUGGCAUG